AACGAACGCUGACGGCGUGCUUCAUACAUGCAAGUCGAGCGGAUGUAGCAAUACAUCAGCGGCGAACGGGUGCGUAACACGUGAACAAUCUGCCCUCAGGUUUGGGAUAACGGCUCCAACGAGCCGCUAAUACCGGUUAGGUUAGUUUGGUCGCAUGGCCGAAUUAAGAAAGGUGCAAUUGCAUCGCCUGAGGAUGAGUUCGCGGACCAUUAGCUAGUUGGUGGGGUAAAGGCCCACCAAGGCUACGAUGGUUAGCCGGCCUGAGAGGGUGAUCGGCCACAUUGGGACUGAGAUACGGCCCAGACUCCUACGGGAGGCAGCAGU
rnacentral:rRNA from 1 species